rnacentral:lncRNA from 1 species
GAAAUAUUUCUCAGACUCUUGGAGAAGCUGUCCCCUCACAGGGAAUGGGGAGAACAGUCUCUUAAGUUUCCCCAGAGAAGCUUUGUCACAAGUAAUCUCAAAUCCAGAUCUGGUUGAAUUCUCUGAGAGAGAAAGAAAUGCAAAAUUAACACUCAACUCAGGAAGGUUGAUUAAGAGAAGGUGCUAAUAUUUGCUUUCCUUUUCCUCAAUUCUGAAAAUAUCAUACUUCAUUUUUUUUCUUUUACCGCUGUUUAUAAGUAUGUUCACUUUGCUAUCAGGUCAGUUUGGUUCGUGUGGGACAUUUCGCUAGGAUUUUAUUUCUUUUCUUAAUAAAUAGUCAAUAUUUGUCAACAUAUCACUUUUGACAUUCUGUUUUUUAAAUACGCUUUGUAGAAAGUGAGAGAUUUCUUUAAAUGAAAUGAUUUCAGUCGCAGAACACACAUUUGUUUUUAAUCUCUGGUCCCAGUGGUAUUUAUCUCUUACUAAGAAAGCAAGCUUUCCUUUUAGAAAGUGAUCUGUUCCCUCAUUGUUUUAUUUAUAAUUUAGAGUAUGGGUAGUCUGUCUGCUGAAAUGAAAAUAAUGACCACAGCCUAUUAAGUUUCUCCAAAUGGAACAGGUGAUACCCAGGGUUUCAAAAGUCUGAAAAUAACAAAUGAUCAAUGAGCAAAGAAAUGAAGGUAUAAGGCCUAAAAUUUGCAACAUAAAAAUAAACACAUCCUCAAGAAAUACUGAAAUCGAUUUUUAUUUCCUUGGCUCACAUUUGUGCUCAUUACACAUCAGACAUUUCCAUGAUAUUCAACUCCCUACGGUUUAGAUGUGAGAAUAGCACAUGGAAACAAGGACACUCACACCCAGUUGUGUUUCCCAUCCCUGUUUCCUGGCUCAUCACUACAUGAUGAGAUGCUUGAGGGAGCUGCUCUUCACACUUAACGCCCAGCACUCAGCGUGUGCCCAGAUAGAAUGGAGGCAUGGAUGGUAGCCUGCUCCAUUUUAAUAUUAGAUUAAAAUGCAAGCAUCUCAUUUCUUUCUACAAAAUUAAAAUAUAAGACUGUCAGGAUCCAUAAGUGUCUCUUAUAAUGAAAGUGGAAGAAUUAGAAUCCAUAAUCUUAUUUUUGCAAUAAAAAUAUGAAUCACUGUUCACAAAUAUUCAGCGCAAUAGAAUACCAAGUGAGAUUGUGCCUGUCUUAGAAAGAAAGGCAAGCUCUCAAUCUGUGGAUACCAUAUGGAUGUCGCUGAGAAGGAGUGGGGACUUGGGCAGCAAAGCUGCCAGGCGUUGGGGAGCAUAUGGAAGUGGCCUGUUUGGGGCCACAGACGGUCGGGCAAUGCUUCCUUCUCUCUUCACAGUUGUCUAACAUAUUGCCACUGUCUACAUGAGCAUAACUUAAUAGCCAAUUUGAAUUCUAUUGUAGUUAAACUUGGUGUUAUCCUGUUAGUAAACUAGCUUAUAUUGCACAAUCGAGUCCAAAGAUUAUUUUUGCUUUAUUUACUACAUAAAGCAAAUACUCUGUAAAGAACUGAAACCACUUUUAUUCAUAGACUAUAUUGGAGAUUUUCUUUUCUUUUCUUUUUUCUCUUCUUUUCUUGUCCUAAGACAUAACAUAGUACCUUCAAUGAAGAUGACGGUGGUAGUGCUAGUAUAGUAUACAAAUUAGAAAAAGGAUAAUUGCAGAGAUCAGAAUCUAAGCUACAUUUUACUUUUUUUAAAAAAAAAAGAUUGUCAGGUUAUCAUGUUAAAAUUAGCAUCUUCUCUAUAUUAAUAAAUCAAUUCUGUGAUUAAAAGUCCAGAAAUAAAAUAACAAAUAAAUGUGCAUUUUAUUUAGCUAUUUUUAGUGUGCUAUUGGAUUUGAAGCUAAUUUGGCUAAGCACACGUUUGGAUUUCCAUCUUUUUUGGUAUCACUUCCUAGGAUUUUAGUGCAGUGGCUCCUAAAAAGAAUGCUCAAAUAUUACUUAUAAUCCCCCAAGAUAUAUCUUCUUUGCAUGGAAUAAAAUGUGAACUAACUUGGAGAAAGGAACACUUUAGACAUACAUUUCAUUAAUGUAAAUAUCCACCUCAAACUAUGUGGAUUAGCAUCUCUUAGAAUUGAUGUUACAAUGCUAACAAGAGAAAAAGAAAACAAAGUACCGGUCUACAAAAAUAUUUGUCUAAUGCCGAAUGUUAGAUUAUUAAACAGAAAAGCACAUUAGCUAAUGUGAAAUGAUGUUUUUCUCCAAAUUUAUUACAUUUUCCCCCUCUGUGUUAAAUUUUCUUUAAAAGGAGAUCUCACAGGAGUGGAUAGGCAAGCUGGAUCUGUGAGCAGCUACAAAUAGAAGCACAAGACAAAGUAAUCUAUAGGCUGGCACUCACAUUCAUUUACUAAAUAAGGUCGUGAGCAAUAUUAGGCACAUUUUUCUGACACCUUUCCCAGUUGACUAGAAGUUGAGUGCAUUUAGUAAAGGAAGUACACAGUGAACUGUUGUUAGUAUUUAUCAGGAAACGUGAUGAGUGGCCCUGAAAUAGAGCAUCUUACCAUCCAAAUUUCUCAGUAGCCUUAAUAAAGAAUAGUCAGUAGCCUUAGUGCAGACUAGCUGGAGUAGAUCUAAGCAGUAUUAAUGUGGCAGUCCGCCUCAGCAUGAAAGUGGAGCUUUGCAAAAGGACGAGAAAUGGAUUUGGAUGGGCAAGGUUGAAAGUAGUUAAAGAAAAGCCAUUGCAACUCAGCAGUGAACAAGGCAAAGACAGUCAAUUGAAAUCAACCCUCCAUUGCACAGUAAGAGUAUAUGUGUGAAGUUCUUGAGCCGAGCCCCUAAAAGUCUCCAUGAACAUCAAACCACGCCUGUUGGGGGACCUCAGUUCUCUACCAAAUGUCUUGUUAAUUGAGCUUUGGCAAAUGUCUCCAUGAGGACCAUUGUCACCCGUCAUGCUCAUGAGAGUCACGGCCUACGCUUCCACAUACUUUUAAAAAUCUUAUUAAAGAUUACAGAGCAGUCAGGUGAGUACACAGACAAUUACAUCCAGACGAUGAACAGAAGGACAGAAUAAUGUACUAACUUUCUGCUCUUUAAUGGACUUUACCUGUGACCCAAAUAUAUUCCUUCUAAAGCAUUUAUAGAACUAUCAAAGUUUAGAUAUUGUAAUACCAAUGUGUAAUCCAUUCUAUAAUGCAGAAUAUCUUUCUAAAAUGUGAAAAAGUGCCAAGUAUUCAAUUCAACACAGUAAGUGUUGAACAUGAGGACAAAGAAAAUUCACUGGAGGGCCUUCAUUAAAAAAUAUCCCCACUGAAAAUAAAGCAGAGACCACCAGAGUGGACAGAGCACUCACCAUGGCCUUAGAAGGUGGAGCUUCCAAGCGGAUGCACCCAUUUCUAUGGGCUGAGGACCAUAACCUCUGAGCAUUAACUUCCUCUUCCAAAGCACAUGGAUGAUAUCUACUGCAGAGGCAUGUUGAAGGGAUUAAAUUGGUUAACGCAUACUGAAGCAGCCACUAAAUUUCUCUGUUAAAUACAUGUAUCUCUUCCCCUUACUUUUGCUGAGAACAAAAUAAUUUCUGUUCUUUGUUGCACCCAGUUUGUACUGAAGGGCAUAACCUUGAAUAUUUGAAAAGGAAAACUCUCUUCAGUUCAAUGGAAGAUAUAGGACAUGUUAAGUAAGAAACAGCAAGCUCUUUAAAUCAGUGAAUAGCUGUAUUGGGGGGAAAAAUGUGGUUCAUCCCAAGGCAGCCAAAAGUUGACCUGGUGAACUGUCUGGUUGGUUUUAUGCCCUAUUUAAACACACAUUAAACAGAUCUGAAGUGUCUUAAAAUGGAAAAAUGUCUUCGUUCAAAUAAUAAGAACUUAAUAAAAUUCUUCAUUACUUCACUGGAGCCUUAUUUGACAAUACUAAAUUUUUUCUCCUAGGCUUACAUGAUAGAUUCUAUCACAGAAUCUUUCUCUCCCACCACCUUUUUUUUAAAUUCCCUUUGGCUCUUAACUCUACCAUUAUGACAGCAACACUUAAAGCUGACCUUUUUUUGACAGAGUUAGCAAUUCUCCUCCAGGCUAUGUAGUGAUUCUUCAAUGCUUAUGUGUAAAUUAUGCAACUGUCUCAUACUUCACAGAAACAUUUUAUAAUCCUGUGUACUAUUCCAUCAUUGGUUUAAUGAAAACAUUAACACUUGGUUUCCAUAAUAUUUACCAUAUGGUAAAGUCACUGUUUUAUAGAGUAAAGGGACAGAUAGCUGAGGUCAAUUUAAAUAAUUGUCUUAAAAUUCCCCAUGAUGAACAAAUUUUUUAAAUUUAUCUUAUCUACCAAUAGCAUGGAAAUAUCAAGCUUAUAUACACAGGUGGACUUGCACCUUUACCGUAUUUGAUUAUUUUUCAUAACUUAGAAUCUAGGCAUAUAUCUAUGUAAUGGAGUUUUUACAGAAGCCUUUGGACAAGAACACAUUUGUUGUAAUUCUCGGUAUUUAAAUCAAUUGCGCAUAAUAAAAUGACUCAUGAAAA